GACGAACGCUGGCGGCGUGCCUAAUACAUGCAAGUUGAGCGCUGAAGGUUGGUCCUUGUACCAACUGGAUGAGCAGCGAACGGGUGAGUAACGCGUGGGGAAUCUGCCUUUGAGCGGGGGACAACAUUUGGAAACGAAUGCUAAUACCGCAUAAAAACUUUAAACACAAGUUUUAAGUUUGAAAGAUGCAAUUGCAUCACUCAAAGAUGAUCCCGCGUUGUAUUAGCUAGUUGGUGAGGUAAAGGCUCACCAAGGCGAUGAUACAUAGCCGACCUGAGAGGGUGAUCGGCCACAUUGGGACUGAGACACGGCCCAAACUCCUACGGGAGGCAGCAGGAGGGAAUCUUCGGCAAUGGACGAAAGUCUGACCGAGCAACGCCGCGUGAGGGAAGAAGGGUUUCGGAUCGUAAAACUCUGUUGGUAGAGAAGAACGUUGGUGAGAGUGGAAAGCUCAUCAAGUGACGGUAACUACCCAGAAAGGGACGGCUAACUACGUG
rnacentral:rRNA from 1 species